rnacentral:rRNA from 1 species
UACGUAGGGGGCGAGCGUUGUCCGGAAUUACUGGGCGUAAAGGGCGCGUAGGCGGCCCGUUAAGUCCGCUGUGAAAGCCCGGGGCUCAACCCCGGAGGGUCAGCGGAGACUGGCGGGCUGGGGGGUCGGAGAGGAGCGUGGAAUCCCUGGUGUAGCGGUGGAAUGCGUAGAGAUCAGGGGGAACACCGAUGGCGAAGGCAGCGCUCUGGCCGACGACCGACGCUGAGGCGCGAAAGCUGGGGGAGCGAACGGG